GAAUCCCUGAAGCUUUUUGACAGCAUCUGCAACAACAAAUGGUUCACAGACACGUCCAUCAUCCUGUUUCUUAACAAGAAGGACAUAUUUGAAGAGAAGAUCAAGAAGUCCCCGCUCACCAUCUGCUUUCCUGAAUAUACAGCCCCAGCGCCUUCACAGAAGCCGUGGCUUACAUCCAGGCCCAGUACGAGAGCAAGAACAAGUCAGCCCACAAAGAGAUCUACACCCACGUCACCUGCGCCACGGACACCAACAACAUCCAGUUUGUCUUUGAUGCUGUGACGGACGUCAUCAUCGCCAAAAACCUGCGGGGCUGUGGACUCUACUGAGCCCAGCCGCCCUGCCCGGCACCCUU
rnacentral:lncRNA from 1 species